CAUGGUGUCCGCUCUCAUGGAGCUAGCUCAAGGCAACCGCUAUGUAACUGUGGUUAUUCGUUAUGAGGGAUAAAGGAAAAGAAGCUCGUACGUUUAUUCUGCCGUAUAACUAACAAGUUUACAGGUAAUGCUCUGGUACCGUGAAAGCAAAGUUCCAGCAGGUCACAGUCAAUCUCAACAGUUCUGCGCAAACUAACGAUAGGCAAGGAAAGGAGAAAAGUGUGAACGCACACGAUGGCCAACAUUUCCUCCUUUCUCUGUCUGUCGUUUUGUCUGACCUGACAAGACAGGGAGGAGCGGAGACAACACAGCCAGCUGCCUAAGCCUAAAAUACCACGCGCCGUAGCCAGCAGAGACACUUCAGGGACCCGCGUCUUUUCCAAACCCACAGACCACACCGCCUCCCCCAGCUGAAACACGCGCGGCCGCCGCCCCUACGCCACAAGCCAACGUCAACGUCAUCACGCUACAAGGAGACCAAGAAGGAGCGUGCGCACUGGUGUUGUUGCAGGAGCAACUGAGGAGCACAGCUGGGAUGAGGUCUGAAAGGUCUUCAUUUCUACAGCUUCCAGUUGAUGCUGAAGGACACUGAGAGGCAAGGAGUGACUGAUGCACAGGGAAAGCCUCCAGGAGACUUAGUUGUUGAGAGGAUUAGCCUGAGGAUAUCGGCCAUUCCUGAGUUCUGAGCACAAAGACGAGACACAGACCCUUGCUUAAGUCACAGUUGUGUGGUAUCAGACAUCUAAACAGACAAGUGCAUAAGAGUGAUAGGAUGCCAGAGAUGGCUUACUGGAGAAGGUAACCCUCUGACGACUGAAGAGUAACUUGAAGGGACUUUGUUUAUGCAAUUCAGAGAAGGCACGACAGUGUGAAGAUGUUGGGGAGAGGCUAGAGGGAAUGUUGGCCAUUGCCUGCCGGAAUCUUCAAAUCUCUUUUUUCCAACACAGUUAUCUGCAUUUGUUUGAUCAGGAAACAAUGACCCUUUUAAGUUUAUCCCCCCACCGCCAAUUAAAAAAAAAUUCUGUAUUUCAGUGACAAUCAUGAAAAGGUUUCUAUCUAAUUAAAAGAAAGAAGGGCUAAUAACAUAAAGUUGCUGCUAUUAUUAUGCCCAUUUUAUAGAUAUGGGAACUUGGGCACAGGAAAGUGAAAUGACUUAGUCAAGGAUAUAUAUCCUAUAAGUGUGAGAUUUAAACUUAGAAACUCUGGCUCCAUGCACUAAACUAUUAUGCUAUAUACAAUGUCUCAAGGUGGGAAAUAAAAUCAUGGUCCCUUCCACCAAGAAGCUCAUGGCCUGGACCUAGGAAAUGGCAAACAAACAAAUUGUUGCAAUAUAAACCAAUAAGUUCACAUAAAUAUAUGAGCCACGUGGAGUGGUAGUCUAGAGAAGGAAAUAAGGUGAGUUUUUUGAGGAGAAUCAGAAUUUUGCAAUGCUGGGAUGUAAGAAAGAGUAUUUCCUGCCAGAAGGUAGGCAGGAAAGGUUGCCAGGAGGGCAAACAGCCUGGAAUAAUUGUAAAACUGUUCUCAAGACAGACUGAAAAAUAUCUCCCACAAAAAUACCAUAGUUCUUGGACACUUCUUGAACCUUGCAAAAAGAAUAUUGAGGGACACUUGGCUGGCUCAGUUGGGAGAGGAUGUGACUCUUGAUCUUGGAGUCAUGAGUUCGAGCCCCACAUUUGGCAUAGAGAUUGCUUAAAUAAAAAAAAAAUUUAAAUAUGGAAAUGUCCAAAUACCUACAGAAUUAUGUAGCUUUGGGCCUUUAACAAAAAAAUAAGCAUGGCUUUAGUGUAUUGGCUACAAAAUCUGGGAAGAACUCAAUUACGGCAAUAACAUGUUUUUCAGUUCAAAUCUCCUCUUUGACUAUGCCUACCUUGCCUAAGGGUUGAAAAGUAGUGGCCAACUGGCUCACUUCCUACCCAGGCUGUUUUUCUGUCUUGCCUUCUUUUUCCACCCCUUCUCCGUCAAUUGUAAGAACUAUGGUUUCUCAGGAAGUGAGGAACCUGACUUCCUUCACCCUCUUACUUACUGCCUGUUUAAGCCAAAGGGUUAGUUAAUUUCUAAGCAGGAACCAGUGCCUACUAGUAUGAUGAAGACAAGGGAAGCCAGUGGGUGUAACUGAAAAUUAGCAGUAGUUAACUGAAAAUGUAUACAACUGAAAGUCAACUAUAGCAAUCAUGUGUCUGGUGCUAAGUUCAAACCACUCCAUGUAUUUAUCUUGUGUUAUAUCAAAUCGUGUUUUCUUAUUUUUAUUUUCAGUGUUGGAAUGACACUGCUGUUUUUUAGAUUUGUCACCUUUCAGACAGUAGCCAGAAUGAUCUUUCCAAAAUUAAUAUAUUACUAUGCUGGUAAUAAUAGUGCUAUAAAAUGCUUCCUAUGUGCUAGGAAGUUUUCACAUAUGAACUCAAUCCACACAAUAUCCUUCUGAAGUACGGUUAGCAUCAUCAUCCCCAGUUUCCAAAGGAGAAACUGAAGCUUGGAGAGGUUUCGAGCUUCUACCAAGUUACACUGGCAGUCUGGCACCAGAGUCCAUUCUCUUCCCCACUUGUUACUCCAGUGAUUAAACCACUCUUCAGUGGCUGCCCCUACAACAUAAAGAGGACUUGUCUUCUUUAGCAUGCCUACCGGGCUCUCUAUGAUUCUGGGAGUUCCCUGAGGUGCCCUGGAGUGAGGAACAGAAGUGAAAUGUCCUUAUUGUUACCUUUUGAUAAUACGGGUCUGGGCAAUGAACACUGUCAGCAUUACUUGUCAGCUUUAGAGAACGUUUUAAUCAGGCUCAGCAUGACAGGUUUUAGCUUAACUUGCAAAGCUUCAGGACUUCUAAAAAGCAGGCAUCACUCUGAUACCCAAUGUGGUCAUAAAAUACAACUGCGUAUUCAGGGUUUUCAUUAUGCUUGAAUUCACUCAUGAAACUUGCAACACCCAAAAUUUGAUUUCAAGGUCAUGACCUCAAAACAUAGAGGAACAUAGUAUUUGAUGCAGAAAUUAUGGAGACAUUAGGUGUAGACAAGGAUUGGAUGAAUAGUGUAAAGGAUCCUGGGUUUCUCUGAAGAAGCUAACAAGGGUGAAUACGGUUUAACUUGAAAAAUGGAAAGGCACAGGCACAAAGGAGAAUAAGAAGACGCAUUUGUAGUUUGGAACCUUCGGGAAAGCAGCUCAUAAUUAUAAAGAGAAGCUGACAAGCAAGUGGUCAACGAAAGGAAAAGACACAAUAGUAACCAAGUGUUGAGGGAGCAAGGUGGUUUCCCUAGAGAGAGAAAGGUGGUUUUCCUAGCGGUUUUCCAGGAUCUGCACUUUCCUAGAGGAAGUGACAUCUAAGUUGAGCCAAAGGAUGAAUAACAGCCAGGAAAAGGGGAAUUGUAUGUGAUGAAGAGAGUUGACAUCGUUCUAGAUAAUGAUCUGGGUAGAUCACAUAUGUAAACAUUCCUUGAGCUAGAAACUUAAGAUUUGUGCAUUUUACUUACAUAUACCUCAAUAAAAUAGAAAUUAAAUAUUAAAAAUAGGAGAAUCAGUGGUGCCUGGGUGGUUCAGUUGGCUUAGCGUCUGACUCUUGAUCCUGGCUCAGGUCACGAUCUCACAGUUCAUGAAUUUGAGCCCUGUGUCAGGCUCCAAGUGUGGAGCCUGCUUGGGAUUCUUUCUCUCUCUCUCUCUCUCUCUCCCUCUCUCAAAAUAAAUAAAUAACCUUUAAAAAAUAGGGGAAUCAAGUCUGCUGAUAGGAGGAAAGCAUCUUCUUUCCCUGGCUAGUGCAAGAGCCUUUUUUAAAAAAAACAUGUGAACUAUUUCCUGCAUAUGGAAGAGUUUAGAAAAUAAUGUAAUAAAACCUGGUAGCUACCACCUAAGUUUGUCAUAUCAAAUCUUAAUAUUUUGUCCUAUCUCCUUGAGAUCUUUCUCUUUCCAGGAAAUGGAUCUCCUUUGUACUCCUCUGCAAUCCUAUUUCCCACUUUUCCUCCUGGAUAGAGGUAACCACUAUCCAGAAUUCUGUGUUUAUCAUUUCUUUCCAUGUUUUUAUAUUUUAAUUAGACACAUAAAUACAAAUAAUUAUAUAUAUAAUACACACA